GAAGGCCUUCGGGUGGUAAGCUCUUUCCACGGAAAGAAAUCGCACGAUCCAAUACAUCGUGUGGAUGACGGUACCGUAAGAAGAAGCACCGGCUAACUACGUGCCAGCAGCCGCGGUAAUA
rnacentral:rRNA from 1 species